rnacentral:rRNA from 1 species
AGAGUUUGAUCCUGGCUCAGAAUCAACGCUGGCGGCGUGCCUAACACAUGCAAGUCGCACGAGAAAGGGACUUCGGUUCUGAGUACAGUGGCGCACGGGUGAGUAACACGUGAAUCAUCUACCUUCGAGUGGGGAAUAACUGAGAGAAAUCUUAGCUAAUACCGCAUAAAACCUACGGGUCAAAGCAGCAAUGCGCUUGAAGAGGAGUUCGCGGCAGAUUAGUUAGUUGGCGGGGUAAUGGCCCACCAAGACGAUGAUCUGUAUCCGGCCUGAGAGGGCGCACGGACACACUGGAACUGAAACACGGUCCAGACUCCUACGGGAGGCAGCAGUGGGGAAUUUUGCGCAAUGGGGGAAACCCUGACGCAGCAACGCCGCGUGGAGGAUGAAAUCCCUUGGGAUGUAAACUCCUUUCGAUAGGGAAGAUAAUGACGGUACCUAUAGAAGAAGCCCCGGCUAACUUCGUGCCAGCAGCCGCGGUAAUACGAGGGGGGCAAGCGUUGUUCGGAAUUAUUGGGCGUAAAGGGUGCGUAGGCGGUUUGACAAGUCUUAUGUGAAAUCUAUGGGCUCAACCCAUAGUCUGCAUGGGAAACUGUCGGGCUUGAGUAUGGGAGAGGUGAGUGGAAUUUCCGGUGUAGCGGUGAAAUGCGUAGAUAUCGGAAGGAACACCUGUGGCGAAAGCGGCUCACUGGACCAUAACUGACGCUGAUGCACGAAAGCUAGGGGAGCAAACAGGAUUAGAUACCCUGGUAGUCC